rnacentral:rRNA from 1 species
GAUGAACGCUGGCGGCGUGCCUAAUACAUGCAAGUCGAGCGAACAGACGAGGAGCUUGCUCCUCUGACGUUAGCGGCGGACGGGUGAGUAACACGUGGAUAACCUACCUAUAAGACUGGGAUAACUUCGGGAAACCGGAGCUAAUACCGGAUAAUAUAUUGAACCGCAUGGUUCAAUAGUGAAAGACGGUUUUGCUGUCACUUAUAGAUGGAUCCGCGCCGCAUUAGCUAGUUGGUAAGGUAACGGCUUACCAAGGCGACGAUGCGUAGCCGACCUGAGAGGGGGAUCGGCCACACUGGAACUGAGACACGAUCCAGACUCCUACGGGAGGCAGCAGUAGGGAAUCUUCCGCAAUGGGCGAAAGCCUGACGGAGCAACGCAGCGUGAGUGAUGAAGGUCUUCGGAUCGUAAAACUCUGUUAUUAGGGAAGAACAAAUGUGUAAGUAACUAUGCACGUCUUGACGGUACCUAAACAGAAAGCCACGGCUAACUACGU